rnacentral:lncRNA from 1 species
GGGGGAGAGAGCAGCCCCUCCGUUCCACUAUAUCAAACGAGUAACUUUACAAAGAGUUCCAAUUGAGUUACAAGAAUUAAUCCUAAUUCUACCCAAAUCCCGAAUCUCUUCCCGUGGCCAAGAGACUCAAUUUGAUAAGUGUUUCCCAAGGUGUACCACAAAGAUAGUUUGCCCACCCUAGAGUUAUACCAAGAGAAAA